GACCUGUGUUCCAGGUGGCCUCUGUGCUAGGUGGACCUAUGUGCUAGGUGGACCUAUGUGCUAGGUGGCCUCUGUGCUAGGUGACCUCUGUGUUAGGUGGCCUCUGUGUUAGGUUCUCUCUUUGUAGAUGGCCUCUUUCUAGUUGGGCCUCUGUGCUCAGCAGCCCUGCCUCUUGGUGUCUACUAGAUCCUGUGAGUAGGGCUUAACCUUCAUCCAGCAUU